rnacentral:rRNA from 1 species
UACGUAGGGUGCAAGCGUUAAUCGGAAUUACUGGGCGUAAAGCGUGCGCAGGCGGUUAUGUAAGACAGUUGUGAAAUCCCCGGGCUCAACCUGGGAAUUGCAUCUGUGACUGCAUAGCUAGAGUACGGUAGAGGGGGAUGGAAUUCCGCGUGUAGCAGUGAAAUGCGUAGAUAUGCGGAGGAACACCGACGGCGAAGGCAAUCCCCUGGACCUGUACUGACGCUCAUGCACGAAAGCGUGGGGAGCAAACAGG